rnacentral:rRNA from 1 species
GACGAACGCUGGCGGCGUGCUUAACACAUGCAAGUCGAACGGCAAGGCCCUGCUUUUGUGGGGUGCUCGAGUGGCGAACGGGUGAGUAACACGUGAGUAACCUGCCCUUGACUUUGGGAUAACUUCAGGAAACUGGGGCUAAUACCGGAUAGGAGCUCCCGCUGCAUGGUGGGCGUUGGAAAGUUUCGGCGGUAGGGGAUGGACUAGCGGCUUACCAGCUUGUUGGUGGGGUAGUGGCUUACCAAGCCUUUGACGGGUAGCCGGCCUGAGAGGGUGACCGGCCACAUUGGGACUGAGAUACGGCCCAGACUCGUACGGGAGGCAGCGGUGGGGAAUAUUGCACAAUGGGCGGAAGCCUGAUGCAGCAACGCCGCGUGCGGGAUGACGGCCUUCGGGUUGUAAACCGCUUUCGCCUGUGACGAAGCGUGAGUGACGGUAAUGGGUGAAGAAGCACCGGCUAACUACGUG